CCUGCCCAAGAGAUCGGGAUAACACCUGGAAACAGAUGCUAAUACCGGAUAACAACAGAUGAUGCCUAUCAACUGUUUAAAAGAUGGUUCUGCUAUCACUCUUGGAUGGACCUGCGGUGCAUUAGCUAGUUGGCAGGGUAACGGCCUACCAAGGCGAUGAUGCAUAGCCGAGUUGAGAGACUGAUCGGCCACAUUGGGACUGAGACACGGCCCAAACUCCUACGGGAGGCAGCAGAC
rnacentral:rRNA from 1 species